rnacentral:siRNA from 1 species
UUACCCAAAUCUAGUUUGAAUGGU